CCUACGGGAGGCUGCAGUCGAGAAUCAUUCACAAUGGGGGAAACCCUGAUGGUGCGACGCCGCGUGGGGGAAUGAAGGUCUUCGGAUUGUAAACCCCUGUCAUGUGGGAGCAAAUUAAAAAGAUAGUACCACAAGAGGAAGAGACGGCUAACUCUGUGCCAGCAGCCGCGGUAAUACAGAGGUCUCAAGCGUUGUUCGGAAUCACUGGGCGUAAGGCGUGCGUAGGCUGUUUCGUAAGUCGUGUGUGAAAGGCGCGGGCUCAACCCGCGGACGGCACAUGUUACUGCGAGACUAGAGUAAUGGAGGGGGAACCGGAAUUCUCGGUGUAGCAGUGAAAUGCGUAGAUAUCGAGAGGAACACUCGUGGCGAAGGCGGGUUCCUGGACAUUAACUGACGCUGAGGCACGAAGGCCAGGGGAGCGAAAGGGAUUAGAUACCCGAGUAGUC
rnacentral:rRNA from 1 species